rnacentral:rRNA from 1 species
AAUCAACGCUGGCGGCGUGCCUAACACAUGCAAGUCGAACGAGAAAGUGGAGCAAUCCAUGAGUAAAGUGGCGCACGGGUGAGUAACACGUGACUAACCUACCCUUGAGUGGGGAAUAACUUCGGGAAACCGAGGCUAAUACCGCAUAACACCUACGGGUCAAAGGAGCAAUCCGCUUAAGGAGGGGUCGGCGGCGAGAUAGUUAGUUGGUCGGGGUAAGUAGGCCGACCAACGAACGGUGGAUCUGAGUUCCGGCCCGUCGAGAAGGGCGGCACGGACGACACCUGG